rnacentral:lncRNA from 1 species
GCAUUUAUGUAUUAUAUUGAUAAUGUAAAGACAAAAUAUAUCGCAAAUAAUAUACAUGGUCAGACGAUAUCCAAAAUAAGCAGGUCUAAGUGGCACGUCUGGCUGACGACAGCGGAUGCACAAAUGAGUGCAUCCGCCUGUUGUCGUAUAUAAACAACAACCCCGCAGUUACUGAGUACAGGGUGACGCGGUUUGAGGACGUUGAUAAGUAUUUUUGUGUCAUUGGUUUUCUCAAUUUGGCAUUAUUUAUCCUUGUUGCUGUUUUAUUUUUUAUCGGUAUUUCGUGUUUGAUUUGAGAAUUGGUCAUAGAAAUGAUUGGAAUUGCAGUUUUGUAUUUGUUGGGUUCGUUUAGAGAAGACCGAAUUCGAACGUUUUGGUGGGUGACGUGACGUCGGAUGAUUGCGAAAUUUCUGGAAUUUUCAUGAUGUGAACACGGGUGGGGUUCGUUUGCUUUUUGUCUGAGUUUUUCAUGUAGGAAAAACAAGAUUCAGUCCAUGGAAAGAGAGAGAAGACAGUGUUAAAGGUGUGUCGAGUAACGGUAAAGAUCAAAUUUUAAAAGCAACUGAAGAUAGCGUUGAAAUUAGAAAAUGUAACUUUGGAGUGAUCUCAGAUGUAUGAAGGAAUAUAAUAGCUAACUGUAAGCGUUUUAACAUUUUUGAAGUAAAGACGAAGUAUGUUGAAAGAAACCUUAAAAAAAGCAAAGGUGGUAGUAGAGCGUCAAGUUACUAUGUCGGAGUACCAUAGGGAUCGUGUUUACCAGGGCAAGGGAAACCACUGACUUAAGAUGGUGAUGUUUCAGCGCAAACACCGACUAAAGCUCAUGGCCAGCAGCUAUUUAUUUUAUUUGGGGUGGGUGGGGUUUAAUUCUCAUCUUGUCUCCAUAUUGUUGAUCCUUGAAGUUCAGUAAACACGGUGGUAUGGUGCAUCCUGUUCGGUGUGUGCAAGAUGUAGAAGAGUGUCCUGCAUUAUGCAAGAUUACAGAGUUCAAGUUCAUGCUGUUAAGUGUUUGCGUGUAACUGUAAGCUUUGUCAUUCUUCUCCCUUAUUUUAUCUACUAAUUACUUGCGUUAUACCAAAACUAGCUGUAGUAAAACAUGUUGCUGCGUUUUUUGCUUGGCUCAUUCUAGUUAAUGUCAACCACUGUUUCCAUCAGUCUGUGACUGCAAGAUGUGAUCUUUUUGCUGUGCUUGGAAAUAUUUGUUUUGUCACCAAUAACAAUCUGUAUUUCUGCAUGUUUGUACAUCGGAUAUAAAGUUUUUUUUGUUUAAAAAUUGUUUUAAUUUGCUGGUGCCAUGCAUAUAGAGUAUUCUGUGUGUAGUUUUCUUCUCCUGAAUUUGCUAAUAGGUGGUCAACGUUCAUCUUGUGAAUGGAAUUGGCAUGUUCAAAGUGUUAAGGAUUCAUAUAAAGCAUGUGCAGUGAACGCAAGUGUGUAAUAAUGAUGAAAAAUUAAAAGCAAGUUACUUGUAUUUCAACUGAAAAGGCAGAAGGUAAACUUUAAACUAAUAGGUUUUGUUAGUACAUGUAAUUUAAGCUAACAUCUGUAAAUGCAAGUGUGCAAUUUAGCUUUUAGAAGCCGCUGUCCUUUGAAGUUUGCCAGGCAAGUCAAAUUUAUUUAAUAUUUAGGCAGUUCAGACAUGUAGCAGUGAAACAUCAGGUAAAGUCUGUCUAGUUUUCAACUCGCAAAAGCUUCAAGAUAUAAAAGGUAAUUGGUUUACUUCAAUUUAUCUUGUCAUACAUUUAAUUCUUGGUCUUGCACCAUAUUAAAGAAAUAAGUGUUUUUAUAGUUUUGAUUAUGGCCCUAAUUCAAGUCAAUACAGAUAAGUAAUUAAAAGUAGCAACAAGGAAAAGCAUGUUAAAAAUUGAUCUGUAAUUUAGAUGUUCUCUAAAAGUUGCAAAGUAUGUUACUAUAGCAGCCUGUGCAUCAUAGUCGCCUAUUUUUAAGCUCUCAAAUGAUACACGGGUUAUAGUAGCAUGCUAAGCAACUAUCUGAAUUGCAGUUUAAUUUUUAAUGGUCCUACCCUUGUUGCUACUGAAAAGUAGUGUUUAAUUAAAGUGAGUAGGAAAUAAAGAUUGUAAAGACAAAAAAAAAAUUGCAACUGAUGGGAAAACAAGAUAGGGUAAGUUUUUCAAUCUACCAAAGGAAGCAAUAUUGUGUUGUGGGAAUGGCUAGUGUUUUUAUUGGGGUGGGGAAAACUAACAAUUUUUUCUUGGUUGGCAAGGUACUUCAAGUAAAGAUUUAUAUGAAAUGAAAGUUGUGAAAUUAAGAGGAAAUCAUGAUCUGAAAACUUGAUCAAGCAUCUCGUGCGACUUUUCAUAGAAGAAAUGGAUCGGCGUGUUUGUCCCCCCCUUUUUUUGUCAUUCACAGAAAAAGAAGUAAAAAAAAAAGAAAUCCUGCUGCAUAGUGAUUCAGCUUCCAGCUUGUUUAAAUAAUAGAUCUGUACCCAGGUAUGACCUAAACAUUUCUGCUUGAAAAAUCGUGUUGCACAUUCGCAGAAGUUUUAAUUGUAAAUUCAGCAAUAAAAAAAAGGGUGGGUAAGUGAUGAGGGGAGGGGAGGGGUAAGGGGUGCUAACUAAUUGUUCUCAAUUAACAGGAACUUCAAAUUGAAGAUGUACUAGUAUAUGAAAUUAGACUCUUUUUAAAGUUCAGCUGGGAAAAAAAUCUAUGAUCUGAAAAUUUGAUCAAGCUUACAGCAAUGUCGAGUGGCUAUCCACUGAAGGAACUUGGUCGUCGUCUUGUUCCCCUUUCAUUUUACAGAAAAAGAAGCAAAAUCCUUGCUCUGUUGAACUCUUGGUGCAGCUUGUGUAAUUACAAUGUAGAUGUAUUCUCAGGUAUGACUAAAUAUUUUUGCCUUUGCUGCUUGUAAAUUUAUGAAAUUAAAUCAAAUUAUUGAUAAUAGAUGGAUGGACUUUGUGAAAUGUAAAUUGUCUUUCAUGUCUGGUAGCAGAUAAUGUGGUAUGGGUCUAUUGAUUUGGGGUGGGUUCUCCUAAGGCCUCUCUAGCAUAUUUUGUUUCAGUGAUGACAAGUAAGGAAUAAAGUGAAGUUUCUUGCUGUGCUUUCAACAAGUGGUGUAUCAAGUAUUAAUAAAUCGGACAUACUGGAUAUAAGGUUAACUUUCAAUGUUUUUUUCGAUCAAUUGUAGGUUUGUUUUUGAAAGAUAAAAAUUGAACUGUAAUGGUUGCAGAACUAAAUUAUUCACAAUUAAUAAUUUUAAACUUGAUCAUGGCAGCAAAACUGGCCUUUUUUGAAAGGCCUAAUCAUAAUAAAUCUUUGUUUACCAACUUUCAAAGAUGGAUUGUUUUCCUAUUACGUUUCCUUCACAAGUACAAUUGCUCUAAGGGAGGGGGAGGGUUCUAAUCAAGUUUUUUUUUAAGUACAUCUUGAUGCAGGUUAUAAUGCAGCUGCUCUUUGAAGUCUGUGUCAGUUAAGUUUUUUAUUAAAUUUUGGAAAUGCUAUUAUAACCAGUAUGAAUUUUAAAUAUUUGAUUUCAUUAGAUUAUUGGUAGCAUGUAUUGCUUAAAUUGUUCGUCGUACUUUUAACAUUUGCACUGCUAAAUAUGGAGAAUUAUUUCUUGGUAAAUAUGCUACAUAAUAUACCUCAUCAAAAUAUCUUUAAAAAUAUAAUACUUUGGGUAAAUGCAGGGGUGUAUGCCUUACCUCUUUCUCCAGGCCUAAUUUUCUUUCUUUAGAAUCGUCGUGUGAACUUCUGGCAUCAAAGUGAAGAUAAAAAGUGAGCUCUGCUUUCUUAUAUUAAUUUAUUUGCAGAUUUUAUUUCUUAAAAGAUUUUUUGUGUGUGGUCGACAAAACUAACCUAGUACCUUGCAUGUUAACUGGCACUGAUUGUAAUCCACUGUAUCAUGAAAAUGUGUGUACCUUUUGUGUUCUGCCUUUUCAAGUUUUAGCAGGUUAAAGAUUGUAAGAUCAAGUGCGUGUCUAAAGCUGUGGUGUGAAUAAGUAUUUUAAAAGUAAAAAGGUGGAACUUUAGGUUGUAACAAGCAAUUUCAAGAAAACUGGUCUCGAGAGUAAAAAUAGUAGCAACUGUAAGUCGGUCUCUUGCCAUUGUUAGUCGUUAACUGUUAUAAUUAUAUAACUUGUAGGAUAACCUGUAUGUGAAGUGAUAUCAGCUUGUAAUAUUAUCAAGGCAUAAAUGAAACUGAUUUGAAGAGUGCAGUAUUCCAUAAUGGGUGUAUAAAACAAGUGUUGUGUGGUUCUAUGUUUUUGCUCAAGUUUUUUAACAGGUGUUGAAUAUGAGAAGUCUUAUAAUUGUAAUGAGUACUGUGAUAGAUGCAACAAGACAAGCGCGAUAGAUGUAAGCAAGAUGCAAGUUGAACAGCCAUGAACUAUCAAGGUUGAAUUAAUCAGACUUAAAAAGGAAGACCUUAUCACUUGUUAACCACAAGGUUGUAAUCAAAAUUAAUUUAAUUAUUUUUCCUAACUUGUUCAUUUUUCUACAUAUAAAUGAAGUUACCAAUGUAACGGUUUAAAUGUAAAAGUUUGUGAAAUUAGUUUGUGGGUUGCGCAUUAGGUUUUUUUUAUUCACAGAACUAACAUAAAGCCAUGUGUGGUGAAGUAUAAAUUCCCAAGUCAAUUGUAUCUUGCCAAGACUUUGUGCAUUGUUGGUGUGGUUUGUGGUAGCUGUGUUUUCUAGAGAUUGAUCAGAACUACAAAGUAGAAUUGACUAUUAUAACUUUGGUGAAUGGGGAGGGUGUAUGCCUUAACUCUGAGCCUGAUCUUUCCUUAGUCAUCCUGCAACUUCCAGACACUGAAGCUGUUAAGUAAGCUCUUUACACAUUAAUUCAAAUUUUAGGACAUUGACAGAAAUUUCAGCAUUCACAACGAGUUUAUUAACUGGCACAGUAUAUAUCUCUAUAACUUUUUUCCUGUACUUUGUGGUUACCAAGUUGCCUUUGUGUUUGCUUUCUCAAGUUUUUAACAGGUUUUUUGAAAGAUAAAGUGCUCAAUUGAUCUGUUGCUAGUGUAUCAUAUCUUGGGGUUGUGUACAGCUUUCAAAAUGGUGCAAACCAGUUACUAUGAUUGGUAUAAAAGUUGAUCUCCACAUAUUUUUAACAAGAAAACUGGUCCAGAGGGUGACUGUAAGUCUUGUCAAAAAUCUCGAUUUUUUUUUUUUUUUGGAACUCUAAUUAUGAUGCAAAAAACCAGCUGACGCGUUCAAAUAAUUUAUAAAGCAAUAUUCUCUGAGGAAGUGUGAAAUGAUGUAAUGGUUACUUGAAAAGAGUGUGUUGUAUAGUUGCAUAUAUAUGCUCAAGUUUUUAACAGGAGUUGUCAUAGUAUGAAGCUUUGUACUGCCAUUGAAGCAAUUUGCCGAAGGUGCAACAAGUCCCAGGUUAGCAGUGAAGCGCUAAAGGAAAGCCGCAUUGCCAUGUUUCCAACAAGGUUGUAAUAAGAGUUACCUUUUUCUUUAAAAAACAAAAUGCAUAAUGUAGAUCAAUAGUUUUCGAAUUUAUAAGCAAAAAUGCUUUUUUUUCUUCAAAAAAUGGUUGUUGUGGGGGGCUGCGUAUGGGUUUUUUCUUCCUUCACAGAACUAACAGCCAUGUUGCAACGUACAAAUUCCAAGGGCAGUUUGAUCUUUCCAAGACUGUUGAAAGGUGUGGAUCUGUUAAAGGUGUAGAUUGAUUGAUUGAUGGAUGGUGUUAAUUUCCUUCAUGAACUGUGGAUGGUGGAUCUGUUCUUGAAGUCCAGUGGCCUUUUCCUUUUUUUUUCCCCUCCCUAGUCUUAUUUGCAGAAAAAAAAGAUGUAGAGAAGAUAAUAUUUGGUAAUCGUAGAGAAAAAAAAGCUAGCUUUGGUCCAUGAUUUCCUGGAAGUGAAGCAUAAAUUCAGCUCUAAACGCAACUACUUGAACAACGCAUUAAACCAGUUCACUCAGUUGGUCGAUCUAUUUGUAUUGAUAAAAGAAUGGUGUCCUUACAGCUGAAGAAAGCUGCCCUAGUUUGCCUACCACAGUUGGACUUGAGAGCACUGUAAUAGAAUCUUGCUGACUAUUUGUGAUGGUAGAAGAGAGGGGGGAAGGGGCUUUCUUUUUACGUUUCAGAUUACCCUUAUUUGUGAAAAAGGUCCCUGUUGAACUACUACUUAAAAGGCGCAUUAAACCAGUUCAUUCAGUUGGUCGGCCUAUUUAUAUCAAGAGUGGUGUCCCUAAGCUGAAGAAAACUACCCCUAGUUUGCCUGCCGCAGUUGGACUUGAGAACGCUGUAAAAGAAUCUUUCCGACUAUUAGUGGUGGGAGAAGAGGGGGGUGGGGAUUCUUUUUUGUUUCAGAUUAACCUUGUUAGCGAAAAGGUCCCAGUUCUUGGUUAAAAAGUUGAUAGGUUGGACUGUUGCAUUGAGUUUAUGUAGAUGGUGCUUCUUGAAGGUGUUAAGAAAGUGGUUUGCUGGGUAAUCAGAUGGGUUUAUUUAGACUUCAAAUUCAAGACGCGGGAGCCAUCAAGGUUGUAAAAGGAUAUGGGUUAUUGCUGGGAAGAAAAAAAGCCAAGGCCAAUAGGAGUGAAGAUGGGAGACCAAAUUCGUUUACCAAAUCUGGAAUCUGUGGGGGUUGCUUUCACAUCAAUUGAAGGCAAAUAUUCGGCUUUUCAUUUGGCAUGAAAAUGAACAGAUGAUAAAAUAUCGAUGCCAGAGCCUAUUUUAUUGAAGUUUUUCAGCGCAAGUAAAUCUCUAAUCAGCUCAGCCUUUUUGCAUCUUAAUAUCUAACCUAUGCAGUAAUCAACCAGAUGUGGCCAGUGUCGGAAAUGCAGUAGACAGUAAUAGAUACAACCCAAUUAGUCUGGGACUUCCUGUUUAUCUGGGAAUUUCAAUCACUUUCAACUUGCAUAAUCCACGCCAAAUAAUUAGCCUGCUGAAGUUCUUGUUGUGUUCAGUCAAGAUUGUUGCUUCAUCAAAUCAGUACCAGUAAAACCAUCUACUUAGCAUCCCCCUACAAGAGUUAUUCCAGUCAACUAGCUUUGUCCAUUGUGUUCAACAGUUAUCUACAAACCUGAAGUGUCAUCGGUGUAUAUUUGAAAAUGUCUUUGAAGUUUGAAGAGACAUUCUAAGACUUCAUCUUUCAUUUGUUGAAAAAAAAAAAGAAUUCCUAAACAUCCAAGUGUAUCUACAUGAAAAGGUUGGCUAUUUACGUGCCAUGUCUAUUUGCUAGGACCCCUGACAAAAGUCUAUAAUUUAAAGGCUGUUACUUGUUCGGACUAGCGCCGUCUAUUGUAUUCUAGUUGUGAAGUGUCAUCAGUGUUUAUUUUGCAAAUGUCUUCAAAGUUUGAAGAGACAUUCUUGAACUAGUUUUCGCAUUAAAAUUGGUGUGCAGAGGAAGGUUGGCUUGUAUAUUCACCACCUCUAUUCCUUUGAGUUUGCGUAUCUCCAAUUCCAAAUUCUUUAUUGUAUUUUUCCCAUGUAAAGAAAAAAACAGGGCCUGGUUAAAAAAAAAUAAUUCAAAAAAAAAUGUGUACAUUCAUACAACAAAUUUUUACCAGCGCCAGCUUAAAAAAAAAAAAUGUUCCUCCUUUUUGGAGUACCUUAUGAAAAAUGUUUGUUUUCCAAUUGAUUUGUGCUCAAAUUUGUCAAACAUGUCUAGUUCUAAAAUGUAAUUGUGUUUAACUUUGUUGUAACACUUAAAUUUUAAUAGCACUUGUGCCAAGCAAAAAAGUUUUAUUGGUUUUAAAGACUAAUUUUAGUAGCUUUUUUCAUCUUAAUUAUUAUAAAGCAGAUGUUUUGCAAGUGCUCAGUCACACUGUAUUCAUCUAAAGUUGCUCAAUCUAUUGAUUUAUAUUACAAAUGCUUUAUUGUAUCAUUUCCAAGAAAGAACAAAAAAAAAAUGGCCUGGUUCAAAAAAAAAAGCAAAAAAAAACAUAAUAAAAAAAAAAUAAACAAAAAAAAAAGUAAAUGUAUAUAUUUACACAAAAGUUACCAGUGCCAACUUGGAAUGAAAAAAAGUUUACUCAAUGUUCAAAGUGCCUUGUGAGGAACUUGUUUACAUUUGUUUUUUAAGAGUUUAUUUCUACUCAGAUUUACCAAUUUAAUGUCAAUGAAGUUCUUAAACUGAAACUGCAAUUGUAUUUAACUUCGUAAAAUUUUAACCAUUAAUUACACUUGUACCAAGCAAGAAACUUUAUUGUUUUAAGACUAAUCUUAGCUUUUUUCAGCUUCAGAUUGAAUAGAUAAAAUUCAUUAAUGUGCUAGAAAUGUGCAGAUGUUUUUGAAAGUUUUCAGACGCGUUCAGUUACUCAAUCCGAUUAUCAGCUGUUCUGUACAGGUUUCAAUGAAAUAUUUACAUUGUAGUUAUUGUGAUCAAUGCUUCAACAGGUGUUCUAUUCAAACAGUAUUGUUUUCAAAAUAUUCUGUUAAACAAUUAGCAUUGUACAUUUACUUUACUGGUGUUUUUGUAAAAGUAUUCGAUUAACUCUGCGAAAUGGUUAUCAAUACUCCUUUGCAAUCAACAGAAUUAUAAAAUCUUUCUGUCAAAUCAAAUCAGUAUUUUAGUGCAACAAGCAAUUCUAUACACCUUGUAAAAUUUGUGCAACAAGUAUUCUUGUCGGAAGUUCAAUCAACUCUGUCAAAUUCAGUGAACAUAAUUAUGAUCUAGCUUUAUGAAUAUUUUUAGUGCAACAAACAUUUGUAUUCCAUUCAGCAUAUCUCUAAAGUAUUAUUCAUUCAGCAAAAUUAUGAUCAAAAGUUGUAUUCAAUCAACAUUGUUGAAGAGUUGCCAUUCACAUUUCAAAUCAGUAUUUUAGUUUAAUAAGCCAUUCUAAUUGCACAGAACAUGAAUAUCUGUACAUGUUUCCUAUUCAGUCAGCAAAUUUAAAACUUGGAAUACUAUGUAGUCUGAAAUUAUAAUCAACAAUUUAAUCUGCAUGAUUCACUUAGUAUUAGUGCAACAUGCUUCCAUUUCAAAAUUAUGGUCAAUGUUUUUAUUAAGUAAUUUAUAUUAAUAUUGAAAGUACUUCAGUGGAUACAUUCAUUUGCAUCAAAGUCUGCAUAAAAUCUUGAAAAUUGAUUAGCUUUGCACAUUUAAAGCUUGUAAAAUGCUGACAAAAAUUCAAAAGCAAUGUUCUUUACAAUUUGCUGUAAAACAUAGAAUUUACCGUUUUCACUUAUUCUAAGCAUGAAUAUUCAUUCUGGUAAAUAAGUCGUGUUAAGGGAUGCUGCUUUUUUUCAAUUGGCAAAUGGUACCAGGGAGGUGAGAUAACACCUUGGCUGGUCUUGAGCAUUGGGAAAUCGCACCUCCCCCUCUCAAUUAUUUGAUAGAGAGUUAGGGUUGGGUGUCCGGCUCGCAGCAACGCUCUGGUACCAGCUGCACAUCCCAAUUGCAUUUUGUUUGUUUUAACAAUAAAAAAAAUUUAAACUUUA